UGGGGAAUCUUGCACAAUGGGCGAAAGCCUGAUGCAGCAACGCCGCGUGCGGGAAGACAGCCCUAGGGUUGUAAACCGCUUUCAGCAGGGAAGAAACUGACGGUACCUGCAGAAGAAGAUGCGGCCAACUACGUGCCAGCAGCCGCGGUGACACGUAGGCAUCAAGCGUUAUCCGGAUUUAUUGGGCGUAAAGAGCUCGUAGGCGGUCCGUUGCGUCUGCCGUGAAAACCCGGAGCUCAACUCCGGGCCUGCGGUGGAUACGGGCGGACUAGAGUCCGGUAGGGGAGACUGGAAUUCCUGGUGUAGCGGUGGAAUGCGCAGAUAUCAGGAGGAACACCGGUGGCGAAGGCGGGUCUCUGGGCCGGAACUGACGCUGAGGAGCGAAAAGCGUGGGGAGCGAACAGGAUUAGAUACCCUGGUAGUCCACGCCGUAAACGGUGGGCGCUAGGUGUGGGGAUCGUUUCCACGAUCUCCGUGCCGUAGCUAACGCAUUAAGCGCCCCGCCUGGGAGUACGGCCGCAAGGCUAAAACUCAAAGGAAUUGA
rnacentral:rRNA from 1 species